AUUGAACGCUGGCGGCAUGCCUUACACAUGCAAGUCGAACGGUAACAGGUCUUCGGAUGCUGACGAGUGGCGAACGGGUGAGUAAUACAUCGGAACGUGCCUAGUAGUGGGGGAUAACUACUAGAAAGAGUGGCUAAUACCGCAUGAGAUCUACGGAUGAAAGCAGGGGAUCGCAAGACCUUGUGCUACUAGAGCGGCCGAUGGCAGAGUAGGUAGUUGGUGGGAUAAAAGCUUACCAAGCCGACGAUCUGUAGAUGGUCUGAGAGGACGAUCAGCCACACUGGGACUGAGACACGGCCCAGACUCCUACGUGAGGCAGCAGUGGGGAAUUUUGGACAAUGGGCGAAAGCCUGAUCCAGCAAUGCCGCGUGCAGGAUGAAGGCCUUCGGGUUGUAAACUGCUUUUGUACGGAACGAAAAGCCCCGGGUUAAUACCCUGGGGUCAUGACGGUACCGUAAGAAUAAGCACCGGCUAACUACGUGCCAGCCGCCGCCGUAA
rnacentral:rRNA from 1 species